GAGGCUGUAGCUCAGUGGUAGAGUGCUUGCCUAGCAUGCAUGAAGCUCUGGGUUUAAUUCCCAGUGCCACA
rnacentral:tRNA from 1 species